rnacentral:lncRNA from 1 species
GUUGGAGUGUUUAUAUUUACAGAUUGUGAUUAAAAAUAUAUGUACAUGUUUUGUUUGAAAUUGUUUAUUUGAAGCUAGAGAGAACAGCUGGUCUUAGCUGAUCUCUAAAGCUGUCAACAGUGGUGGUUUCAAUUACAGUUUGUGGUAGUAAAUUCCAUUGAAUAAUUGUUCUCGGGAAGUAUGACCAUUUGUAUGUGUCCUUGGAAGUUUGGAUGUGUCUGUAUGUCUGCGUAUGAUUUUGUCUUGUUCUGCUGUCUGUUUGUUCAAGAAUAUGCGAUGGAAUGGCAACAAGACAAUGUAUUACUUUAUAAAAUAAAAUAAGUCUGGUUUUUAAGCGUCUCUCAGCUAGUGGUGGCCAUUUCAACUGAUUUAGCAUGUUUGUGACACUGCUCGUGUAAUCGUAGUUGUUGUGUACAUAACGAGCAGCACGUCUCUGUACCUUUUCUAAUU